rnacentral:rRNA from 1 species
UAGUCCACGCCGUAAACGAUGAGCACUAGAUUUUGGAGGUAUUGACUCCUUCAGAAUCGCAGCUAACGCAUUAAGUGCUCCGCCUGGGGAGUACGGUCGCAAGACUAAAACUCAAAGGAAUUGACGGGGGCCCGCACAAGCGGUGGAUUAUGUGGUUUAAUUCGAAGCAACGCGCAGAACCUUACCUAGGCUUGAACUCCUGAGAAUUCUGGGUAAUGCCGGAAGUGCCCUUCGGGGAAUUCAGUGAGAGGUGCUGCAUGGCUGUCGUCAGCUCGUGUUGUGAAAUGUUGGGUUAAGUCUCGUAACGAGCGCAACCCUUAUCCUUGUUUGCCAGCGAGUAAUGUCGGGAACUCCAGGGAGACUGCCGGUGAUAAACCGGGAGGAAGGUGGGGACGGAC